GAUGAACGCUGGCGGCGUGCCUAAUACAUGCAAGUCGAGCGAAUGGAUUAAGAGCUUGCUCUUAUGAAGUUAGCGGCGGACGGGUGAGUAACUCGUGGGUAACCUGCCCAUAAGACUGGGAUAACUCCGGGAAACCGGGGCUAAUACCGGAUAACAUUUUGAACCGCAUGGUUCGAAAUUGAAAGGCGGCUUCGGCUGUCACUUAUGGAUGGACCCGCGUCGCAUUAGCUAGUUGGUGAGGUAACGGCUCACCAAGGCAACGAUGCGUAGCCGGCCUGAGAGGGUGAUCGGCCACACUGGGACUGAGACACGGCCCAGACUCCUACGGGAGGUAGCAGUAGGGAAUCUUCCGCAAUGGACGAAAGUCUGACGGAGCAACGCCGCGUGAGUGAUGAAGGCUUUCGGGUCGUAAAACUCUGUUGUUAGGGAAGAACAAGUGCUAGUUGAAUAAGCUGGCACCUUGACGGUACCUAACCAGAAAGCCACGGCUAACUACGUGCCAGCCGCCGCGGUAA
rnacentral:rRNA from 1 species